rnacentral:rRNA from 1 species
UACGUAGGGUGCAAGCGUUAAUCGGAAUUACUGGGCGUAAAGUGUGCGCAGGUGGCCGCGCAUGUCGAGUGUGAAAUCCCCCGAGCUUAACUUGGGAAUUGCGCUUGAAACUACGUGGCUAGAGUGUGGCAGAGGGAGGUGGAAUUCCACGUGUAGCGGUGAAAUGCGUAGAGAUGUGGAGGAACACCAAUGGCGAAGGCAGCCUCCUGGGCCAACACUGACACUCAUGCACGAAAGCGUGGGGAGCAAACAGG